UACGAAGGGGGCUAGCGUUGCUCGGAAUCACUGGGCGUAAAGGGUGCGUAGGCGGGUUUUUAAGUCAGAGGUGAAAUCCUGGAGCUCAACUCCAGAACUGCCUUUGAUACUGGGAAUCUUGAGUAUGGAAGAGGUGAGUGGAACUGCGAGUGUAGAGGUGAAAUUCGUAGAUAUUCGCAAGAACACCAGUGGCGAAGGCGGCUCACUGGCCCGGUACUGACGCUGAGGUGCGAAAGCGUGGGGAGCAAACAGG
rnacentral:rRNA from 1 species